CCAGCCCCAGCCCUAGCCCCAGCCCCAGCCACUCACGCACGCACGCUGCCACUUGCCCCCGCACCCUCCUCACAGCGCGCGGGAGAGCGGUGCGUGCUGGAGCUGCUGGGCUGAGCUCCCCCGCUGGGGUCGCCGCGCCGCUCGGCCGCGCUCCUGCCGCCGCCCCGGUGGGUGCCCCAAGACCGUUCACUCGAGCUGUCCCCGGCGGCGAACGGGCUCCCCGCCCCCUCCUCCCGCGCCGUUCCCUCCCCUCUCCCUCCCCUUCUCUGCAACGCCUGCAUUAUUUUCCGCCCGCAGGGUCUGCGCGCACACCGCGGCCG
rnacentral:lncRNA from 1 species